GCCGCUAUAGUGUAUGGUUUAUCACUUGGGAUUUUGAUAGAGUCGAGGAGCCUCGGUUCUGCGAGGCGCCCCGACUCCCUCAUUCCCAAGACCCAGGUUCGAACCCUGGUAGCGGCU